UACGUAGGGUGCGAGCGUUGUCCGGAUUUAUUGGGCGUAAAGGGCUCGUAGGCGGCGUGUCGCGUCGGGAGUGAAAGACCGGGGCUUAACCCCGGUUCUGCUUCCGGUACGGGCAUGCUGGAGUGUGGCAGGGGAGACUGGAAGUUCCUGGUGUAGCGGUGAAAUGCGCAGAUAUCAGGAGGAACACCGAUGGCGAAGGCAGGUCUCUGGGCCACUACUGACGCUGAGAAGCGAAAGCGUGGGGAGCGAACAGG
rnacentral:rRNA from 1 species